rnacentral:rRNA from 1 species
GAUGAACGCUGGCGGUGUGCCUAAUACAUGCAAGUCGAGCGAACAGACGAGGAGCUUACUCCUCUGACGUUAGCGGCGGACGGGUGAGUAACACGUGGAUAACCUACCUAUAAGACUGGGAUAACUUCGGGAAACCGGAGCUAAUACCGGAUAACAUGUUGAACCGCAUGGUUCAACAGUGAAAGACGGUCUUGCUGUCACUUAUAGAUGGAUCCGCGUCGCAUUAGCUUGUUGGUAAGGUAACGGCUUACCAAGGCAACGAUGCGUAGCCGACCUGAGAGGGUGAUCGGCCACACUGGAACUGAGACACGGUCCAGACUCCUACGGGAGGCAGCAGUAGGGAAUCUUCCGCAAUGGGCGAAAGCCUGACGGAGCAACGCCGCGUGAGUGAAGAAGGUCUUCGGAUCGUAAAACUCUGUUAUUAGGGAAGAACAAAUGUGUAAGUAACUAUGCACGUCUUGACGGUACCUAAUCAGAAAGCCACGGCUAACUACGUG